ACGCAAAAGAAUAAAAGCUCUUGCCUUUCAAUUAGUAGAACCUGAACUUAAAAGACGUCUUACAACUCAAUAUAUUCAUAAGCCAUUGCGUUUAAUAACUUCAUCUAUUUUAAAAAUUGAAGAAACUGAAAGGUCUAAAAUUAUUUUGCCAGA